GAGUAAACAAAUAAGGGCGUAUGGUGGAUGCCUUGGCUCUCAGAGGCGAAGAAGGACGUGAUAAGCUGCGAUAAGCCGUGUAUAGGUGCAAAUAACCGUAGAUGCGCGGAUUUCCGAAUGGGAUAACCCAAUACAUUGAAGAUGUAUUAUACCGUAAGGUAGGCAAACGCAGGGAACUGAAACAUCUAAGUACCUGCAGGAGAAGAAAACAAACGUGAUUCCCCCAGUAGCGGCGAGCGACCGGGGAAUAGCCCAAACCGUAUAUGUUUCGGCAUCUACGGGGUCAUAGGAGCACGAUAGAGUCGAAAAGUAUGAAGUGGAAUGUACUGGAAAGUGCAGCAAAAUAGGGUGACAGCCCCGUACACGUAAGUACGUUAGACUUAGUGUAAUCCUGAGUAAGUCGGGACACGAGGAAUCCUGACCGAAUUCACCGGGACCAUCCGGUAAGGCUAAAUACUCCUGAGAGACCGAUAGCGAACAAGUACUGUGAAGGAAAGGUGAAAAGCACUUCGAACAGAAGAGUGAAAUAGUCCCUGAACCCAUACGCUUACAAGCAGUCGGAGCCCUUAUUAGGGUGACGGCGUGCCUUUUGCAUAAUGAGCCUACGAGUUACGCGUCACUGGCGAGGUUAAGCACUUCAGGUGCGUAAGCCGAAGCGAAAGCGAGUCUUAAUAGGGCGAACAGUCAGUGGCGGUAGACGCGAAACCUUAGUGAUCUACCCAUGAGCAGGCUGAAGGUUUGGUAACACAAACUGGAGGGCCGAACCGCUAAACGUUGAAAAGUUUUCGGAUGACUUGUGGGUAGGGGUGAAAGGCCAAUCAAACUGGGAAAUAGCUCGUACUCUCCGAAAUGCAUUUAGGUGCAGCCUCUGUUGUUUUGUAUUUGAGGUAGAGCUACUGAUUGGAUGCGAGGGUUUCACCGCCUAUCAAAUCCGGCCAAACUCCGAAUGCGAAUACAUAAAGACAGGGAGUGAGCCCGUGGGUGCUAAGGUCCACGGACGAAAGAGGGAGAACUCAGACCAUCAGCUAAGGUCCCCAAUUGUAUGCUAAGUUGAAAAAACGCGGUGGGACUGCUUGGACAGCUAGGAUGUUGGCUUGGAAGCAGCCAUUCAUUUAAAGAGUGCGUAACAGCUCACUAGUCGAGCGGUCCUGCAUGGAUAAUACGCGGGCAUAAGUAUACAACCGAAGCUAUGGGAU
rnacentral:rRNA from 1 species